rnacentral:rRNA from 1 species
AAAAAUCGAGUCUUUGAACGCAAGUUGCGCCCGAAGCCAUUAGGCCGAGGGCACGCCUGCCUGGGCGUCACA